CAUAAGUGUUUGGUAAGCCAACUUCUCAUCAGCUUUCUCCAGAAGCUGCUGUGGCUUCCGUCGAAAAGCAGAAGCGGCCUCCCCCUUGCUUUUGAAAGUCAGAAGCCAGGAAAUCACUGUGGCGCUGGUUACUGUAUAUUAAUGAAAUUUUGAUAAUACCGGUCUCUAUCCUCCCUUGGUUGAGGCAAUUACUUGAUUGCCAUGAAACCCGUCUUGAGAGAUGAUGCCGCAACAAUCUCUCUCCCUCUCAUCACAUACAAUGCAUCAAUCUCUGAUCACAGACGCCCCAUCAACCUCUCUCCCUCUGACACAGCCUCAUCUAGCCUUUCAUCACGAUUUUGGGUUGGAAAUCGAAGCCUCACUCAAGCAAGGCUGCUUGGCGAUUUGAUUCAGUUCUUGGAACUGGAAUACCAAUAGGAAAACUUGAUAUGUAUGUUGCUACAGUUGGUAUUAAUUCAGAGUCAUUGGGAGAUCAAGCGGAAUACCAAGCAAUGCAGCAAGUUAUAUUAUCUUUCAUCAUGUAAAACUUAGCUAGGAAACUUGAAAAUUGAAAUGUAUGAAUGCAAUAACAAUGUUCCUUAAAUUCAGUAUUUGAUAAAUUGAUGUAUCACAAGGCUUUUGGUACAAAUAUUGAUUAUGGUUUGUAUUCAA